UACGUAGGGGCAAGCGUUGUCCGGAUUUAUUGGGCGUAAAGAGCGUGUAGGCGGCCAGGUAGGUCAGCUGUGAAAACUCGAGGCUCAACCUCGAGACGUCGGUUGAAACCACCUGGCUAGAGUCCGGAAGAGGAGAGUGGAAUUCCUGGUGUAGCGGUGAAAUGCGCAGAUAUCAGGAAGAACACCCGUGGCGAAGGCGGCUCUCUGGGACGGUACUGACGCUGAGACGCGAAAGCGUGGGGAGCGAACAGG
rnacentral:rRNA from 1 species